rnacentral:rRNA from 1 species
GAUGAACGCUGGCGGCGUGCCUAAUACAUGCAAGUCGAGCGAACGGACGAGAAGCUUGCUUCUCUGAUGUUAGCGGCGGACGGGUGAGUAACACGUGGAUAACCUACCUAUAAGACUGGGAUAACUUCGGGAAACCGGAGCUAAUACCGGAUGAUAUUUUGAACCGCAUGGUUCAAAAGUGAAAGACGGUCUUGCUGUCACUUAUAGAUGGAUCCGCGCUGCAUUAGCUAGUUGGUAAGGUAACGGCUUACCAAGGGAACGAGGCAUAGCCGACCUGAGAGGGUGAUCGGCCACACUGGAACUGGGACACGGUCCAGACUCCUACGGGAGGCAGCAGUAGGGAAUCUUCCGCAAUGGGCGAAAGCCUGACGGAGCAACGCCGCGUGAGUGAUGAAGGUCUUCGGAUCGUAAAACUCUGUUAUUAGGGAAGAACAUAUGUGUAAGUAACUGUGCACAUCUUGACGGUACCUAAUCAGAAAGCCCCGGCUAACUACGUG